UCGGAGCGCGAGCGCCGCGCGCACCAGCGCGCCCGGCCCCGAGCGGCUCCGCGGCCUUCUGGGGCGCCCGCUGCCUCCGGCUCCUGCUAGGGGCAGGAAUGUCUACAAUAACUCUUGUAAUGAAAUAAUUCAACCUGUAAGUCAAGCAGAAUCAAAGAAAGCACGCCCAUACUUCACCGUCCAGCUCCGGAGCAUCUGGGGUCCAUCCUGACCGCUGCAGCUUCCCCUGUCGGCGCCGGUGCGACAGUCGGGCUCCUAUCCCAUCACGGGGCAGGGCCCUUCCAGUUCUGGCUAAACCACUUUGGAAAAACCUUCUUUAUAUGAUGGGCAAACAGGGUGUCUGUGGGUGGGGGGAGGAGCUGGAAGUGAUUUGGUGGUGACAUAUCUGGUCACGCUGGGACUAGCUCCCAGCAUGGCCAGCCUUUCUCAUCUUCCCCAUUUAUUGGGGUGGGUGUGCAUUUACCUUUUACCGCCGGGCUUUGCCACAUCCCAGUCACUUGGCUUAAUGGCCUCCUUCUGCAAGCUCCAGCUCUGUGUCUUCUGCCUUGCCUUCCAUGCCCAGCCGGUGCUACCCACAAUUAGGCACCUAAUAAAUGCUCUGGGUGCAGUCUAGGCUGGCAGACAGUCAUUGAGCAGCUCCUGGAAGAUGGGUCCCUUAGAGCUCGUCUGCAGGAAGCCAGAGACACCUCUGGUAGAGCUGCAAGGAGGUAUUAAUACUUGAAACCCACCAGGAUGUUCCUAAGUUUGUGACCUCCGUGGCCUUGCAGCUCCAAGAAACUGCUGCCCUUCCUUCUCCUUUUGAUCCAGAAAAGUAAAAACAGUCAAUCAUCAUAA